GACGAACGCUGGCGGCGUGCUUAACACAUGCAAGUCGAACGGUAAGGCCCUUCGGGGUACACGAGUGGCGAACGGGUGAGUAACACGUGGGUGAUCUGCCCUGCACUUCGGGAUAAGCCUGGGAAACUGGGUCUAAUACCGGAUAGGACCACUGCCUGCAUGGGGGGUGGUGGAAAGCUUUUGCGGUGUGGGAUGGGCCCGCGGCCUAUCGGCUUGUUGGUGGGGUGAUGGCCUACCAAGGCGACGACGGGUAGCCGGCCUGAGAGGGUGACCGGCCACACUGGGACUGAGAUACGGCCCAGACUCCUACGGGAGGCAGCAGUGAGGAAUAUUGCACAAUGGGCGCAAGCCUGAUGCAGCGACGCCGCGUGAGGGAUGACGGCCUUCGGGUUGUAAACCUCUUUCAGCACCGACGAAGCGCAAGUGACGGUAGGUGCAGAAGAAGGACCGGCCAACUACGUGCCAGCCGCCGCCGUAA
rnacentral:rRNA from 1 species